rnacentral:rRNA from 1 species
ACUCAAAUGAAUUGACGGGGACCCGCACAACCGGUGGAGCGUGUGGUUCAAUUUGAGACGAAGCAAAAAACCUCACCAGGGCUUGACAUGAUACCGUUUAUGCUUUUGGAAACUUUAGCAAAUCCGCAAGGAUGGUACCACAGGUGCUGCAUGGCUGUCGUCAGCUCGUGCCGUGAGGUGUUCCAUUAAGUUGGGAAACGAGCGCAACCCGCAUCCAAUGUUACAUAUUCAUUGGAAACUGUCUCAGUUUUUCUGAGGAGGAAGGAGCGGAAGACGUCAAGUCAGCAUGGUCCUUAUGCCCUGGGCUACACACACCCUACAAUGGCGAACAACAACGAGUCGCAAGCUAGUAAUAGCAAGCUAAUCUCUAAAAUUUCGCCUCAGUUCAGAUUGAGGGCUGCAACUCGCCCUCAUGAAGUCGGAAUCGGUAGUAAUCGCAAAUCAGCAGGUUGCGGUGAAUACGUUCUCGGGUCUUGUACACACCGCCCGU